rnacentral:piRNA from 1 species
GACUAGCUGGCCGAGGAUCCGAUU